AUGUUUCAGGAUUAUUCAACAGAACACCUUUGUGAUGGCCUCUUGCCCACCAGGAACUGGGCCACAUAUCCUUGGACCUGGGCUCACAUCCUUCAGCCUCUGAUCCCAUCCAUCCAAGAUGGACACCACUUCGAAUUUAGGUUUUCAACCCUUUGGCCAGAGCCUAGGGAAAUAAUGACAUUCACAGGCCCAAUCCAUAUAUUACCCAUGUUGUUAAAAGCUAGCUUUAGCAUCCCCAUCAAAAGGGGCAAUGAAAAGUAUGGUUUUCAAGAUGGACUUCUAGGUUGGAUGUUAAAGUCAACUGUUUUCUCUUUUCUAGUUGACUUCAAUCAUCUGUCUUGGUGGGCACACGACCAAGAGUUUUGGACACUGCUAACACCACCCACAUGCUGGAACAGGACUUUGGAAGAGGGACCGAUACUGCAAUGAGGUGUCAGAUUGGACCAACAGGCUAUCUUUCAGCCAUGACUGUGCCUUGAAAGCUCAAACCCACCAUGGGAGAGGUUUUCUAAUUUGACUUCUUAAUGGGAAAAUAUCUAGCUGUUUUUGUCGGAUGAUGGGAGCAGAUCCCAAAUGCAAUAAGUUCUACUACCUUUCAGCACUCCUGGGUGGUGUGUGGAACAUGGGCUCCAAGACGGAUGUGGGUCUGCAGCCUCCUGGGACAUGAAGAGGGAGGGGAACAGCCGCGUAGUCUAGUGGUUCUGACAUCUUCUCAAGGCCCACAGACCCUGGUUUACUGAUUUAAGAGGAACACUGUGUUAAUACGGUGUAUAUAACUCUCUCGACAAUUAUACUUCUUUCUUGUGAUGAAUGCCUCCCUUUCUCUGCUACAUUUUCUAUGGCUAACCCUCCUUUUUGUUCAAAAUAAUAAUACACAUUAAAAGCAAAGGGCAAAUGCAGUUGUAUCCAAAACAACUAAUACUUUGGUACCUGUUACGUGAGACUUUUGUUAUCUUUGUUUUACUGAAGAGCAACCGAGGCAGCCCCAGAGAGAUCCAAAAAUUACAUAACUCGCAAGGAAAAAAGCUGCAACUUGACCUUGGGCUGUUAGGCUCCAGAAAUGGUGGUUUUUCCAGUCCACACUGUUGCUUAAAUUUUUUGUUUUGCUUUUGUUGCUUUAGUUUUUUUUUCUUUUUGAUGGCCCUAGGGAUUGAACUCAGGCCCUUCACACUGAAUUACAUCCCCAGCCCUAUCUAUUUUUUAUUUUUGAGACAAGGUCUCACCAAGUCACUAAUUUAUCCAGGCUGAGCUUGAAUUUGCAAUCCUCCUGCCUCUGCCUCCCAGACUGCUGGCAUUACAGGCUUCAUUGUUGCCUAUUAACCCAUUAUGAUGAUUAAUUUUAUGUGCCUAUUUGACUGGGCCACAGGGUACCUAGAUAGCUGGUUAAACAUUCUUUUCAGUGUUUCCUUGAGGGUGCUUCUUGGAUGACAUUAACAUUUAAACUGGGAGAUGAGCAAAGCAGAUUGCACGAAGAAGAUGGGGAAACACCUGCAUAGAAACAAAAGGCUUGCCCUCCCCUGAGUAGGAGGAAAUUUCUUUCGCAUGGUUGCAUUUGAAAUUGACUCCUUUUCCUGCCUUUGGACUUGAACUGAAGCAUCUGCUCUCCCCGGGCCUCAAGCUCACCAACCUCUGACCUGAAACUUAUGCCACCAGCAUUCCUGGUUCUCAGGCCUUCGGCAGCUCUGCCUGGUCCCCGCCUUGCCAACUUGCCCUGAAGAUCUUCAGACUUGUCAGGCGCUAUAAUUGCAGGUACCAGUUCCCUAGAAAACAUCUCUUUGUAUAUAU
rnacentral:lncRNA from 1 species